AUUUUCUCAAUCUUGUGGAAUUCAUUUUAUCUAUUCCACCGCCUCAUUUUAGCUUAUUAAGCUCUUUCAUUUUCUGAAUACACCACACCACCAAAACCCAGCAAAUCAACUUCUUGUUCUGUUGCUUUCGAUUCAAGUGGUGCGGCGCGACUAGGACGUUACUUUUGAUUGAAUUACUCAAAGUUUACCUUCAAGUUCAAAUUCAGGUGCGGCGCGACUAGGACGUUACUUUUGAUUGAAUUACUCAAAGUUUACCUUCAAGUUCAAAUUCAGGUGUGGGAUUUAUUUCAGUACAUGCUGUGGUUAAUCUUUGUCCAUUUUAAUAUUAUGUGUUUACCAUAUGUGAGUUGCAUUAAAUUAUAUCGCUAGGGGCCCGCUCAAUGGGUCCAGGACUUCACCGUCCUUGGUAUGCCACAAUGCGAUUUCAUGUUAAAGUUAUGGUUGCAACCAGUCGCCAGGGGCCGGCUCAAUCGGUCCAGGACGGAAAGGUCCUUGGUAUGCCACCGUGCGACUUUCAGUUACGAAUGUAUUGAUCAUAUGUGAUUCUCAUUUUAUUAACGUGGACAAUGAUUGCAUGUUCCCACACUGAGUGUACCCUGUAUGCUCAUCCCAUAUUAAACAU